rnacentral:rRNA from 1 species
UACGAACUGUGCAAACGUUAUUCGGAAUCACUGGGCUUACAGGGUGCGUAGGCGGCUUGUUAAGUAGGGUGUGAAAGCUCCCGGCUCAACCGGGAAGGGUUAUGCCAGACUGCUAGUCUUGAGUGCGAGAGAGGAGCGUGGAAUUCCGGGUGUAGUGGUGAAAUGCGUAGAGAUCCGGAGGAACCCCAGAGGCGAAGGCGGCGCUCUGGCUCGCAACUGACGCUCAGACACGACAGCAUGGGGAGCGAACGGG